rnacentral:rRNA from 1 species
UAAGGAAUAUUGGUCAAUGGACGAAGGUCUGAACCAGCCAUGCCGCGUGAAGGAUGAAGGCCCUCUGGGUUGUAAACUUCUUUUAUCUGGGACGAAAAAAGCUCAUUCUUGAGCACUUGACGGUACCAGAGGAAUAAGCACCGGCUAACUCCGUGCCAGCAGCCGCGGUAAUACGGAGGGUGCAAGCGUUAUCCGGAUUCACUGGGUUUAAAGGGUGCGUAGGUGGGUUGGUAAGUCAGUGGUGAAAUCUCCGGGCUUAACUCGGAAACUGCCAUUGAUACUAUCAAUCUUGAAUCAUCUGGAGGUAAGCGGAAUAUGUCAUGUAGCGGUGAAAUGCUUAGAUAUGACAUAGAACACCAAUUGCGAAGGCAGCUUACUACGGGUGUAUUGACACUGAGGCACGAAAGCGUGGGGAUCAAAC